AUAUACUCAGAAUAUACAAGCAGAAAGAACCAGAAUUUGCCAUCCAUGGAUACACAAACCUAGAGCAAAGAAUACAUAUCGUCGAGCUCAAAAGCUAUCAGACAACUACAUCAUCGAUUUACCCAUUAUUCGCCCCUUAUCCCAUGACAACAAUUUUGAUCAAUAAGCAUACACACAAAACUAGAAGAUUCUGGCCAAUAUCUUCUCUUAAAAAGUGAUCGGAGAGUGAUCAUCCUUGAGAUCCUGGUAAUAGCUGUCAAUUGCAUCAAAGAAGUCGAGGUCUGUCUUGAGGUCGGCAUCGUUUGAGCGGUGGAACAGAGUACGCGCAAAGAUCUUGAAACCAAGACCUAUUCCUCCCACAAGAGCGAUCUUCUUACCAUGAAGGUUGCCACAUCCCAAUUGCCUUUUAAGAAACGGCGUAGCCCGGAAUCCAGAUGAACAACCCGGUCCAAAAGAGCGCCCAGGCCAGCAUAAGGCUGGCUCCUGGAAGGCGCGAGGAGGAAUGACUUGCAGUCGAUUUUUUUGGGCUUUCAUGGCGACGUUGAAGGGGAUCCACGUGAUGGCCAUCACCAAUUGCUAUGGAAAAAAUUAGUGCAGGAAUUUUCCAACCCGAAUCAGCACAAAUUAUUUGCUUGGGGGCAGCUGCUCACUUGAGGAUCCAGUUCAAGACAACCUUGGAAGAUGACCCCAAUGCAAGGUAGGACGGACAUGUAAGAAGCAUGACCACAACGCAGCAAGUAUAUGGAACACCAUGUCUGCUGAGUCUGGUCAAGAUUCGAGGCGCUUUGCCAUCGAGGGCAAGGGCGUGCAGCGAACGCGUAGUAUUAAAAGUGAAGGCAUUACCAGCCGAGAGAAUGAUUACGAUAAGACAAGCGUUGACGAUGGAAGGUAGUACUUUGAUCUUGAGGUUUUCCAUUGAUAUGACACUGUUCACCAUCAGUACCUGAUUGGAAGGAACAGGAGGAGAAUUGAGCUCACUAGGGACAUCCACCGGCAUAUGUGUCACUACCACCGAGCAAACUGCAUGUCAGUCAAUUGAUAAAGCUCAACUUGUCACAUACAAUUACUGAUAUUGUAUCAUUGGAAGGAAGCAGAAUCCUAACGUAUAUGGCACUUCCGACAAAGAAGAGCUUUAAUCUCUUGAUAAGGUUCUUAAAGGCUCUCGGGACCGUUCGCCGUAGCUCUUUGCCCCACCGGCAAUCAUGAUGAGAUAUUGGGGCCCGCCCAGACUGAAUCCAGCCACGUUGACGGCGUUGACAAAAGAAAGAAGACGAUCAAUGGCUGAAUCGCCUGCUCAUGGACCAGGGUUGCCCCAGUAUCGGAAACCAAAAGCACUACUCUUGAAUAUUAGCCAUAGUCUUCCCGAUCGAUUGGGUAAGGGACACAUUCUUUGUCAGGGUUACCACCUGACAUGACGACCACCGUGUAGAUUAUCAGGCCGGUAGCAAAGAGGAUCUUUCCAAGGGAGAACCAGGGCUGUACAAAUGGAUGAAUAUACAGCUCAGGGAUCCGUCCAGAAUGUUCACACUAUCCAGGCUUGAAGCCGUGGCCGAACAUACGUCUACUAACCCCCGCUGCCGAUCCAUAAGCUUUCAAUAUCUCCAUGCGGAGAGAAGACUGCUCGAAAUGACAUCUCA
rnacentral:sRNA from 1 species